rnacentral:lncRNA from 1 species
GGAACAGAGAGGCAGAAAGACAGAGCGGCAAAUGGGAAGCUUGGAAGGGACACAGAGAGGGAAGUCAGAUAGCAAAAAGUGGAGAACACAAACAGACAGAACAUAAAGGUGGGUGAAGGGCAAACAAGAUGCAUUACAGUGUCCUGUUUAUUAAUCAGUAGCGCUGCUGUUACUCCCCAGAACUUGAGAUAAGUAUUAAGACAGGGUUUUAAGGUGGCACAUCACACCAAAAACUUCCCAGCAUCCCUUCUGCUAGCAAAUGUUGACGUAUCGUUCUGCUGACACAAGUCAGCUGAUUGCUGUGUCACGGCAAUGGUUUUAGGCAAGUGGCAGCGCUCCGGCUACAGACGUAGAGUCUUUUUUUCCUCCCAGACGCACUGCGGCACAGCCAGACGACUAGAGUGGAGGCACAGGAGCUCACAGCUGCAGUCUACUGGCUUGUUUCGGGGAGGCAGAGGAGCCGAGCACUUCCUCUCGAAAUACCGUCGCUCUGCUUAUUUUUGCCGUUGAGGGAUCAUUUUCAUUGGGGCAGAUAGUAGAGCCAAGAAAGAAGACAAACUCUGAGUCCAACAACUUGGAAUUAACGUUGGUCUCAUUUGUAGACAGGAAAUUUGGAGAAGCGAGCUGGAUCUUAAUUUUUUUAGGGGUUGCUGACGCCAUCGCUUGCGAGCACCAGACCAGGUUCCUAGGCUGAGAAGUUGGUGCUAAAAGCUUGGAUUCCAGUCCGUCACCUGUCCGUCCCGUCAUAAACCCGUCCCACACGAGACGUCCAGUCAGUCGGGCCCAUCUGCAUUUCCAUUUGCGCCGACCAUCCAAAGCAGCUCCUCUGCUUCAAGGUUAAGGUGGCUUUCGGUCCUAGACUUAGUCCUUGUCCAGAGGGCAGGGCAGAGGCGAACAGAAACAGCGAAGCAGCAGCUAAGCAGAGCUCAGCCAGACAGACGCGGUGACCUAAAUCAGCCCCAGUCAUGUCUGGACGCAGCCAGAGCAAGGCAGACGGAGAGGAAGACAGAGCGAGAGAGAGAGGGAGAGAGCGACCCAAACGUACCGACUUGAACAUAUACUCACACUACGUAAACGGCCGGAUAAAAGGCGGGCUGAAAUGCAGUUUUUGGGCGGUCACCAACAAGCUACUGUACAGGAGGAGACUCUGGGAAAGUAAGGGAUAUCUUUCAAGUAAGAAAAUCCUGCUCCAGUGUGCCACAAGUCAUUGGAGAAGACAGGGCUUUGGAAGGAGAAAGGAAACCUUUAUUUUUUCUGUCCACAGAGAAGUAUAUGAAGGCAUAAAUUCAUAAUGUCUCUCCAAGAAAUGUAUAUUCAAACCAAAAAUUAUUCAGACACCAGAUACCAUUUUUUGAUAUUGUUUUAUUUUUUUUACUAGUGGGUGCAGGAUACUUGUUUAUUUGUGUUAAGUGAGGAUAGCAAAAUAAAGAAAACUGUGACAUAUUAUACCUAAAAAUUCUUUAUACAGUGGACUACCCAACAAAUUUGGGACCAAAAAUUAUUAUCACUUUGACCUAACCAUGUUUUUCUUAAGUUUUUUCCUUUAAUUGCUAAUGUGACAUUUUAUACCAUAGACCCCCCUUCCUCAAAUCUUAGGGCCGUUUCAUAGUCUAAACAGUAAACGCAAGCGUCACGAGUGAUGCGUGUAUGCAAUACACCGCUCACGCAACAGGGGGUAGUAGAGUCGGGUCGCGUGAUAUUCAGAUCACAAUAGCAACUGUAGAGGAGUGUAUUCUGUUGCUGAUGAACUAUCGUAUAAAUGUGGAUGAAUACGUAUAAGUUUGCAUAAUUUUUCCUCUUCGCCCGCCAUUGUAUUCAAACCUUCUUCUUCUGUAAACACAAUAUACUUGAAUUAAUGUACAAUAGUAUUGCGUGAAUCGGCGCAUCGCGUAUCAAUAACUAGGACGACACAUUUGGCUACGCACCGACGCAUAAUGGCGGCCGAAGCGUAAUGAUGCGUAGGCUCGGGGACGCAUAUGCGUACAGAUGUGUUGACUAUGAAACGGCCCUUACCCUGGAGGUCCAAUGCGCUGCAGAGUUUAGCACCAACCCUGAUCAAAGUCAGCUGCUUGAGAUUUUCGAAUAAUCCCAAAGACAAUGAUUGGCAUUGAUUAGCAUGCUCAGGUGUGCUUGAUUAGGGUUAGAGCUAAACUCUGCAGGAAAGUGGAUCUCGAGGUCCAGAUUUGAGGAUCCCUGCCAUAGACUGUACAAAAUUAAACAUUGCUUGGUAAUUAGUAGACCUUAAUUGGUAUUAUUUAAUAGUGCAUUUUAUAGGGGUCAAAUGAUGCGAUUAAAAUUUUACCUUUCUGUUUGAAGUGUUGCAACCUCUUGGUGCAUAAGGAAGAUCUGUAAAGUUGCAAAGACUAAAGCCUCAAAUCCAAAGAGAUAAUCUUUAUAACUUUUUCAAGCCUCUCUAAAACGCCUCAUUUAAACAAGCCCCCACAUGUCUACAUCACUGUGUGAGAAGAUUUGCAUAACACCGCCCAAAUGUUCGCACAAAGAAAGAAGGGAUUACUUUUAUUCUCGCUGUAGGAUUGUUGUUGCCGCCACCGCUAUGUGGUUGAGACACUGAGUGUUUCAUUGUGAAAGUGAAACUACUUUGUAGGAUGAUAUCCUCUUUUUUCCAUUUUUUUUUCAUAUUUUAUAACUAUUUUCUAAACAAUUGAGAAUAAACUGUGAUAAUAUGAGAAAUAUUGAAGGUGUCUGAAUAAAUUUUGGUUUGACUUUGAAACCAGCUUGCCAAGGUAAGACACAUUUAUAACAGUCAAACUACUGUCAAUGUGUAUCAACCUCAUUUUGUUCAAAAUCUUUAUUACUUUCCUUCUUCUGCCGGACACAAGGUUUUGAAGAUCAGUAGGAGAAAAAGAGUUUUGGUAACCACUGAUUUCCAUUAUAUGAAAUAACAAACAAUCAGACAUUUCGCAAAAUAUAUAUUUUUGUAUAAAGCUGAUCAAUCAGAUAAUAAGGUUUUUGCUUGAAAGUACAAUGAGAGUAAACAUAUCAAACAUACACACUCCUGAUUAAGUUUGGGGGUCUGUAAGAUUUAUUUUAUUUUAUUUUAUUUUUUAUAGGCUUGAAUUUAUUUGAUGGAAAAUACAGCUAAAAUAUAUGCUGUUUGGCUGCUCAAGAAAGAUUUCUUCUUAUUAUUAGAUUGAAAACAUUUGUGCAUGCCACACCUCAUAUUUUCUUCCACCCAUGUGCUUCUGUUUGACUUAGAUUCUGUCUCCGUUUGAUUAUGUCAUAUAGUUCAAAUGUGUCUGGUUAAUUAUCCUCAUUUGCUCCUGUAUAAUAGUUGUGUUCUGUUCUCUGUUUGUCGUCCAUCUACUAUGUCCCUACAUGUGUCUCCAGCCUGUUCUGUCCUGGAUUUACACCUGUCAAUUUAUUAAAGACUAUUUACAUUUAUCAUCUUCUUCGUACAUUUAUCUUACUGUAGCAUGACAGAAAACCAGACCUAGAAGAGAAAGA